CCGCCAUUUUGUAUUUUCAGUCCACUUCGACGUGCCUCGUCUAGGCUGCCUUCUGCGCCGCCCCAUACCUCGAUGCCCUGCUGGUCUUAAUUACGCGCUAACAGUGGCAGCGCUUGUCGGAGUCACGCGCUGCGACUUGUUCCCGCCUUCGGCCGACUCUGGAAGCACCGGCUUCAUGCCCCGGGCCUGCAAAACGUGAGGCACGCCUCGAGAGACUUGUAGCCCGACCCGCCUGCCGUCUCGGCAAUUCCUGGCCCGGCUUUCGAGCUCCCGGAGUAUAAGUGACGGCCAGCCGGCAUUACUACGUUACUGUACGCGAACGACACUCCGGUCGAGCCGGCGCAGCGUAUAAAAGUCGCAAGUCGUUCCUGCCGAGUACUUGUUCUUUUGUUUGUGCGCGUUUCCACCUCCUCGACGACGCCUGGACUAUUGAACUUUGGAUGAACUCUGAGCGUGGCCACUAACCCCAGGACCUGCGCGGCAACCCCUCUUCACGGCAAGCGUCGCCUCUACGAGCUUCGCAUCGAGCGUCCUAAACGCUCAAAAGGCCUGUGUGUGCACUUAGUGCAUUUUUUCUAGAUGGUCUAGCUGGCGAGGGUGGCGCAUGCCUUAGAGAAGUUAACUGUUUGUUCAGUUGCACUAGCUAGCGCUCACUAGGGUUGUAUAGCUACAAUAUAAAAUUGCGUAAAGUUAGUGUUGUUGCUUAGCUGUAAGCCCGAGGUUUCGUGGGCAUGGCUUGCGGCCACACGGGUCUUCUCCGUGCCGGAAUCGAAGAGGACGGGCCACGUGUGCGGGGUGGCGGCGUAUAGCUUCAGGUUUAGCUGACACACAGGCUUAGCUCACACUGCGGAGGCUACAGCUGAUAGCCGUCCUCUCUCGACUGCGUCAGGGACAUGGACCCUUCCGAAUGGCCUUGCGACCCGACCCCACUAUUUCGUGACGGAGAUAGCCCGCGCGCGUCAGUGCUAUCGAGCGAAAUGUGGACUCACGGAAGCAAACGUCAUUCGGGAAUUGCCUCGCCAGCUAUUAGGCACUAACCCGCUCUACGCAGCACCUCGACGCCGGACGUGGCCUGCUGUUUUCGUCGGAGCUGGGCCGGGCAGCAGCUACAAGCAUCACUCGUGCCGCGCGCGGCCUACCGUGUUCCCUCGUCGGUGUGGCUUUGUGGCCCUGCACCGGGAUCCCGAGGUCCGCUUUCGAGAUUGCGGACCACGAGUAAGAAGGAUAUCCAGUGUGCUGCUCCACGUUCGCCAUCCUCCCUACGUCCCCCACCGGAGAUGGCCUUGAGCACCUCUUACCGUGGCUGACCGCGUUGGCUCCUUUGCAUUUCCACGUCCAUGGCGUCCUUCUGCUACGGUGGUCUUCGUUUGCAA
rnacentral:lncRNA from 1 species